UGAGGACAACUCCAGAGAGUCCGUUCUCUUUCUCUGCGUCUUUCUGUGAGUUCAGGGCUUGAACUCAGCCUUCCAGGUUGCACAGGACACAGCUUUUACCUACUGAGCCAUCUCAGGCAACCUGGAAAUGACAAUUUUUGCUUUGUCUCAAUUUGCCUUUUUGGUUUGGUUUGGUUUGGUUUUUGAGACAGGGUUUCUCUGUGUAGCCUUCUUGAUCCUGGAACUCUCUGUAGACCAGGCUGACCUCAAACUCAGAGAUCUGCCUGCCUCUGCCUCCCAAGUGCUAGGAUUAAAGGUAGGCACUACCUCCUAACUCAGCUUUUUCUAACAAGAUGUCAGCCUUGUUCUGGCCUCAUUCUUUGCCCAUCUAAGUACAAGUCCCAGAAGGAAGGAUUCUCUCAGUGUUGCACAUAACCCAUGGGCUAUGUUUUUUU
rnacentral:lncRNA from 1 species